rnacentral:lncRNA from 1 species
CAUAGACAUACAACUAACUAGAUAACACAUAGAAAUACAUAAACACAGACCAUAAACCAAAAACCCGGAAAUACUAAAUCAAACACCCUAUUUUCCAAAACACCACCCCGAACCACAUAAAACAAAUACCCUCUGCCACGUCCUGACCAAACUACAGUACCAAUUAACCUUAUACUGGCCAGGAUGUGACAGCAACUUACAGUAGUGAGUGAAAACAUUUUGGUACUGGUCCCCCGUGGGAAUCGAACCCCCAACCAUCUGAUCCACACCGGACCACUUUGGCAUCAGAUGUUGAAUUGGAGAUGGUCAGAGCAUGUUUACACUAUAAUCAGUAAUUCAACCAUCGUUACCAUUAGCAAGUGUUGAAUUCUGAGAAAAACAUUCUGCUUCAUGUAGCUAACAAACUGUCAAUACAAAGAGAAUCAGAUUGAAUCCACUAAAGGGAGUACUAUCUUAUUCAAUGCAGUAAAAUAAUAAGGUACACCGUUCAAGGCACCAAGUACAUUUUCACAGUAGCAAGCCUGUGUGCAUGUUGCAACACAACACCACAUUUGUUCAAUAAUUACAUUGCUUGUUAACCUCUAUGGGCUAGGUGGGACGAUUUGGUGCCACCUACCCUAGAGAGGUUAACACCCUUAGCAUCCUUAAAAAUCUAAUUUCUCCCACUCUCACUCGAGACCCUAUCCAGGGCCCGCUUGACAAAGAAACAAGCCCACAGGCUUUGUCUUUGGACUCUGAUACAAAGGUUGCGAAGAAAAGGUCAAAAGCUUUGCUAAAACAAAGCCCACUCAAAAUCAGAAAAGUCUACCUGUUUUCACCUUGACACAUAACGUCAUUGCGAAUGACCACUCCACUUUGUAGGGAAUAUGUCCACUCUAAACGGCCAUACCUGGAAACAGUCCCGGAGGACUGCUUAACUUGUCAUGCGCAAAUUGAGUCGGGCGCGACAAUAUCGCUCAUCUCUCAAACAUUGUUCAAUGAUCUCAAAAGGGCUUUGAAGCCAACUAAACACUGGUUAAAACUACCUCACCUCUCACAUUGAGAGUCAUGCUGAAACUACACUUCCAGGACGUAUCGCUCGUUCACCCUGUGUAUGUUACCAGCCUCGAAUCUGAACCUCUGCUACUCGGAGCAGGCUUGAUGGAUCGGUAACUCCCACUGAUGGAUUGGAGAACAUACCAUGUAUGGUCACAGUGCCUUCUCCUAACACUAGCUGCAACUUAAUCAUCCACGAAUGGUAUCUGUCAAAAGCAACCCUUGGGAAAAAGACAUUUCGAAACCUCUUGGAGCAGAAUCCGAUCCAAGGAGAUAUUACGAUAUCUCAACACAUUCCAACAGCAAACCUGAUUGACCAUUCUUUUCAUGAUUUCGAGCCAGCAGUCUCUGUGAAUGAGCAAUUUCCCUCCUCCUUGAAGUCGUGCAAUACUGUAGUUGAGAUGAACUUCUCUUUCUCUUCGGACACUUCCGCAAGCACUGUGGCCGUCUCAGCAAGAAAAACAUAGAUGAGCAGAGUUUACUCUGCUUCUGAUGAUACAUCUUCCGCUUUGUGGGGGACCCCUUUGUGUCACUCCUUGCAAUGACACUAAUGGCGUCAGUCCAGCAACUGACCCGAUGACUCCCACUGGUGAAACACUUUGCGAUAUCACAGACAGAUAUCCUUGUCUCAGUUCGCAGGUACUGAAGAGGUUGCCACACGCGGACGCUGUGGUGACUGACAGGCCUUAACAGCCACUGAGGGUUUUGAAGCACAAACACCAGGAGAUUUGGUUGAAAGGU